GACGAACGCUGGCGGCGUGCCUAAUACAUGCAAGUCGAGCGGACCAAAGGGAGCUUGCUCCUGGAGGUUAGCGGCGAACGGGUGAGUAACACGUGGGCAACCUGCCUGUAAGACUGGGAUAACAUCGAGAAAUCGGUGCUAAUACCGGAUAAUAAAAAGAACUGCAUGGUUCUUUUUUGAAAGAUGGUUUCGGCUAUCACUUACAGAUGGGCCCGCGGCGCAUUAGCUAGUUGGUGGGGUAACGGCUCACCAAGGCGACGAUGCGUAGCCGACCUGAGAGGGUGAUCGGCCACACUGGGACUGAGACACGGCCCAGACUCCUACGGGAGGCAGCAGUAGGGAAUCUUCCGCAAUGGACGAAAGUCUGACGGAGCAACGCCGCGUGAGUGAUGAAGGUUUUCGGAUCGUAAAACUCUGUUGUUAGGGAAGAACAAGUGCCGUUCGAAAGGGCGGCACCUUGACGGUACCUAACGAGAAAGCCACGGCUAACUACGUGCCAGCAGCCGCGGUAAAGUA
rnacentral:rRNA from 1 species